rnacentral:tRNA from 2 species
GCCCAGGUGGCGGAAUUGGUAGACGCGCAGGACUUAAAAUCCUGUGAACAUUAUGUUCGUGCCGGUUCGAUCCCGGCCCCGGGUA